GGGGAAUCUUGCACAAUGGGGGCAACCCUGAUGCAGCGACGCCGCGUGAGCGAUGAGGCCCUUCGGGGCGUAAAGCUCUUUCGACCGGAACGAUAAUGACGGUACCGGGAGAAGAAGCUGCGGCUAACUACGUGCCAGCAGCCGCGGUAAUACGUAGGCAGCAAGCGUUGUUCGGAGUUACUGGGCGUAAAGAGUGCGUAGGCGGUUUUCUAAGUUCGGUGUGAAAUCUCCCGGCUUAACUGGGAGGGUGCGCCGAAGACUGGGAAGCUGGAGUGUGGGAAAGGCAGGCGGAAUUCCUGGUGUAGCGGUGAAAUGCGUAGAUAUCAGGAGGAACACCGGCGGUGUAGACGGCUUGCUAGACCAUAACUGACGCUGAGGCACGAAAGCGUGGGUAGCAAACA
rnacentral:rRNA from 1 species